AUGUUCACUUUUCGUCCCUAAGUUAUCAUUGGCGUUGCACUUUUCAUCAUUUCGUGAUCACUUUUCAUCCCUGAUUAUACUAAAAUUGUAAAUUCAUUCCCUAAUGUUUUAUUAGUAAA